UCUCAGCAUAUUCUGCUGACAAUGCUAGUCUAAAUUAUGGGAGGUACAACUCUGUCUUCCAAAAAUUGAAAGAGAAAAACAAUGACAUUGUGAAGGCGAACUGUGUGGCCCACAUUGUUCACAACAGUGCAAAACACGCAGGAGAUCGACUGAAUCUGGACAUUGAAAGUGUCGUCAACAAAAUCUUCAGCUAUUUCUCCACAUCUUCCAAGCGAGUCGAAGAACUGAAGUCCGUUUACAUCUUUGUCGAGAAGGAGUAUCAGUCUCUCCUCAGACAUGUCCUGACAAGAUGGCUGAGCUUGUGGCCAGCUGUAAAGCGACUUCAUGACAGCUGGGUAGCCCUGAAGACAUUCUUUCUUUCACUAGGGGAGGAGCAUUGCCCCAAAUCACUGUGGCUGCUGUUCAGGGAAGACCAAGAUGGUGAGGGCAACCCCCUUGAACUACAGGUUUACCUGUCCUUCCUUAGCAAUGCACUGAAGAUUUUCCACGACACUGCUGGUGUUGGAGCAAGAAGAUGGGACUGUCUGUGAGCUGUACGACAUGAUGUUCACCCUCAAAACCAAGCUACAGCAACGUCAGAGUGAUGGUUUCUUUGGGGCCCAGACAGAUGUACUCCUCCAGCAGUUUCCAGACACACAGGCAGCUGUGCUCAGAGAGGACAUGUCCAACUUCUACCAGUCCUCUCUCACCUACCUGGAGCAGCGCUAUGACUUCUCAGACUCCAACUACCAGAAGAAACUGGCUAGUCUUGCACUGCAGAAGAACCCAUUCAACUUCUCCCACCUCUGUGAAGCUGUAAAGGUCUUGCAGCUAAGCAAGAAGUUGGGCAUGGAUGCGUUAUAUGAUGAGCAUUGCGUCGUUCUGCCACGCCAAGAGGCCAUCGUGCAGUCUGAAGCUCCAGUUGUGGAGAAGUGGGCCACCUUACUCAAGCACACACACACACACACACACACACACACACCAAACUUGACAGCAGUUGCCUCUUUUAUCUUAAGCAUACCCAUUACCAAUGCGUCAGUGGAGAGAGUCUUCUCUCUGAUGUCGGGAUGCUGGACAGACACUAGAAACCGAUGCUCUGUGAACCUGAUUAAGUCCGAGAUACAAGUGAAGAGUAACUUCACAUUCUCCUGCAAGGACUUCCAUGCUAAUGUAUUGAAAGACAAGGAUCUCUUGGAUGCAGUGCGGUCCAACAAGAAAUAUGUCUUCAAGAAGAAACCUUAAGAUGCUGGUGAGUCCUAAACAUGUCCCCAAAGGCCU